GGGGUUGUGGCUCAGCGGUAGAGCACUCAUCUAGUACAUUCGAGGCCCUGGGUUCCAUCCUCAGCACCACA
rnacentral:tRNA from 1 species